rnacentral:rRNA from 1 species
UUCUUCGGACCACUGGUGAGGUGCUGCAUGGCUGUCGUCAGUUCGUGUCGUGAGAUGUUGGGUUAAGUCCCGCAACGAACGCAACCCCUAUCGCUAGUUACCAGCACGUCAUGGUGGGGACUCGAGCGUGACUGCCUGCGCAAGCAGAGAGGAAGGUGGGGAUGACGUCAAGUCAUCAUGGCCCUUACGCCCAGGGCUGCACACGUGCUACAAUGUCCGGUACAGAGGGCAGCUACGUCGUGAGGCGAUGCCAAUCUUAAAAGCCGGUCUCAGUUCGGAUCGGAGUCUGCAACUCGACUCCGUGAAGUCGGAAUCGCUAGUAAUCGCGUAUCAGCAACGACGCGGUGAAUACGUUCCCGGGCCUUGUACACACCGCCCGUCAAGCCAUGGAAGCUGGGGGCACCCGAAGUCCGUGACCCGACCCGUGAGGGAGGGAGCGGCCGAAGGUGAACUCAGUGACUGGGGCUUAAGUCGUAACAAGGUAGCCGUAUUCGGAAGGG